rnacentral:rRNA from 1 species
UACAGAGGUGGCAAGCGUUAUUCGGAAUUAUUGGGCGUAAAGGGCGCGUAGGCGGCCAAGUAAGUCCCGGGUGAAAUCCCUCGGCUCAACCGAGGAACUGCCUUGGAAACUGCAUGGCUUGAGGCCGGGAGAGGGUAGCGGAAUUCCCAGUGUAGCGGUGAAAUGCGUAGAUACUGGGAGGAACACCGGUGGCGAAGGCGGCUACCUGGACCGGUUCUGACGCUGAGGCGCGAAAGCGUGGGGAGCAAACAGG